UCUACGGGAGGCAGCAGUGAGGAAUAUUGGUCAAUGGACGCAAGUCUGAACCAGCCAUGCCGCGUGCAGGAAGACGGCUCUAUGAGUUGUAAACUGCUUUUGUACGAGGGUAAACGCAGAUACGCGUAUCUGUCUGAAAGUAUCGUACGAAUAAGGAUCGGCUAACUCCGUGCCAGCAGCCGCGGUAAUACGGAGGAUUCAAGCGUUAUCCGGAUUUAUUGGGUUUAAAGGGUGCGUAGGCGGUCGGAUAAGUUAGAGGUGAAAUGCCGAGGCUCAACUUCGGAAUUGCCGCUGAUACUGGUCGGCUAGAGAGUAGUGGCGGUAGGCGGAAUGUAUGGUGUAGCGGUGAAAUGCUUAGAGAUCAUACAGAACACCGAUUGCGAAGGCAGCUUACCAAGCUACUUCUGACGUUGAGGCACGAAAGCGUGGGGAGCAAACAGGAUUAGAUACCCUUGUAGUC
rnacentral:rRNA from 1 species